AAAGGAAUAGACGGGGGCCCGCACAAGCAGCGGAGCAUGUGGUUUAAUUCGAAGCAACGCGAAGAACCUUACCAGGUCUUGACAUCCGGUAAAAACCUGAGAGAUCAGGUGUGAGCUUGCUCAUACCGAGACAGGUGGUGCAUGGUUGUCGUCAGCUCGUGUCGUGAGAUGUUGGGUUAAGUCCCGCAACGAGCGCAACCCCUAUUUUUAGUUACUAACGCGUAAUGGCGAGGACUCUAGAGAGACCGCCGGGGACAACUCGGAGGAAGGUGGGGACGACGUCAAAUCAUCAUGCCCCUUAUGACCUGGGCUACACACGUGCUACAAUGGCCACUACAGAGAGGCGCCAACCCGCGAGGGGGAGCAGAUCUCAUAAAAGUGGUCCCAGUUCGGAUUGUGGGCUGCAACCCGCCCACAUGAAGUCGGAGUUGCUAGUAAUCGCGAAUCAGCAUGUCGCGGUGAAUACGUUCCCGGGCCUUGUACACACCGCCCGU
rnacentral:rRNA from 1 species